UUCAUCUGCUUGGUGCUGCCGGCUACUAUAUCUUGAUGCUUUGUUGAUUAGUACCAUGGAUUGGCUGGAUCUAUGUGAGCCAAGCCAAAACAAUAGAUUCGAGUGGGAGUUGCAGUACUGCAGUGGUAUGGAAAAGGGGAAGUCAGUUCAGUCAAAAAAACAAAAGGGGAAAACCGAGAGGGAAACAUAGGGUAAGGUGAGGAACGUGGGAGAAAUACUCCUGAGCAGAUGGAUACACAGAUGUGUCCAGAUCCCUAUCCUCUUUAUCUGAAAAAAGCUAUUAUCCAACAUGGUCAGCUGUUCAAGGAGUAUGGAUUAUAUAUCUGACCGUGACUUACAGAGUUGCAACAGGGCCCAAUACUUAGUAGUACAUGCUAGUUUCUACUAAUCAGUCAAAUAGGCCUCAAUAUGGAUUAGUUACAUUUCAUAAUCUGCAAGAAAUUAAUUUACUUAGUAUAUUGUAUUAAACAUAGGCAAUUAAUGUCCUCAAUAUCAAAGAAUUGUAUUUCAGGCCAACAUAUUUUUGCUGUGUUUGUGUAAAUUUGCAGUAACAUGAAUAUAGUUUAUAAAUUAACUGUCAUCUACAUCUUCUUCAGUUUGGAUGUCACUUUCAUCAUCUGUAUCUGUAUACUCAGCGCCAUCACUUUCAGAAUCUUCCUCUUCUUCUUCUUCCUCUUCAAACAGAUCAUCUUCAGAAUGUGUUACUGGUUCUGCUUCAAUGGGUUCACAUUCGACUCCAUCUUUACUGAGAACCGUAGGGAAGUCACCAUCAUCAAUUGUAGUGUAAUUCAAUGCAGCCGUGAUAUGCUCAUUCUCUUGGCAUGCUUCAGAACUAGACUUAUUUGAUAAAGUUGGAUCAUUUUCUUCUUCUUCUUCUGUAGGAGGAAAGUCAUACAAAUCACGUGGCUUCGUCUUGACUACAACAAACCAUUUAGGGUCUCUAGUAUCUUUGACAUAAUAUACUUGCUCAGCUUGUGUUGCCAAAAUAUAUGGCUCAUCAAUUGGCACUGUACGGGAAGUAUUAAUUAAGUAUUUGUUACCAAGGAGUGGCCUGCCAACAGUACCAAAUAUCUGAAAUUUUGUACUGCUGUUGUCACUCUGCACGUCCUCGAUUCGACUUGGUCGAUUGAUUCUUGUUUCAACUCCUUGAAGGAUUCUUGUUUGAUCCUUCAGGGCGAGCUUUGUUUUUUACAAAAGACUUCAACCUUCGCAAAAACCUUUCAAUGGGAUACAUCCACCGAUACUGGACAGGUCCACCAGCAAUAGCUUCCUGGGCUAAAUGGAUUGGUAGAUGCAACAUUACAUCAAAGAAUGAAGGGGGGAAAAUCAUCUCUAACUUACAGAGGGUAACAGCAAUUGAUGAUGCAAGCUUCUUGAGAAUUUCAGUAUCUAAUUUCUUGGAACAAAUUUCUCUAAAAAAGCUACAUAGCUCAAUUAUAGCCUCACAAACAUCAGCAGGCAGAACUCCACGAAUAGAAAAUGGAAGCAUGCAGGACGAAAUAAGAUCUUCCCAUCACCAGUUGGAGGUGCAUGAAGUUCAGGUCGUAUUUUCAUGAGUUCCAAAUCAAACCGGGAUUUAAUAUUGUCCUUUUUCUUCCCAUCCAGAUUUAACAAGGUCAAAAUGGUUUCCCAAGUUCGUCCAUCCGUGAACCAGAUGGAGACUUCGGAUGAUGCUGCUCGACAAGUCAUAACCAAUACUAGGAAUGAGGGACGGAUGGGACCAACCGGAAACACAGGUCUCAAACGUAGGAAAGGUAGGGGUCUCACCAUUAAUGGAACACUUGCAAAACUGAGAGCAAGGGGUGUGCCACUAGACAUUCAAUUUGCUGCACAGUUUGGAAAAGUCUAUGGUAGGCACGCAAGUGUCUUUAAAAGUGAGGUCACUGUCUGUGUGCGACAAGAGGUCCCCCUUAAGGUGAAGAAGUGGAAAGUCAUUGAAAAAGCUUUUCCUGGAACCAUGUCAUCAAUUUGGAAUUUAUUGAAGGCAAAAUUCCCUGAGAUCUCAAUGGCAGACUACCAAUGUGUAAUGACACAAGUUGAGCGAAAGUACAAUGUAAGACGCCACAAACUGUACAAGACCUAUUGCACAACAAAAACAGUGUCCUAGUCAUGUUGCGCCAGAGGACUGGCAGUGGUUGAUUGAUAACUUAUGGAGUGAUGAGCAAUUCCAGAAACGGAGCAAACAUAAUUCCAUUAACAGAUCAAAGCAAGAGAUGAAAUCACAUGUUGGAACAAAGUCUAUAGUGCAAAUAGCACAUGAACUGAGAAACCUAGUGACAGGUGAAUGGCCUAGUGCUAUAGAUGUUUGGAAGGCAACUUAUUUGAAGAAUGGAACAUGGUCCGUUCCUAAUGGCGAAGAAAUUCUGAACAAUCUGCAGACAGUAGCUGAAACAAACCAGGAAAGGAUUGCAGCUGCUCAAAUCCCAAUGGUUGAACACUUUGCAUUAGUCCUUGGCAGAAAGCCAAACCACUCGCAUGGAGUUGGUAUUAGUGCAAUCAAUGAGGGAGCUCAAGAGAGGUACAGAGUUAAUGCACAAGCAGAAGCUGCACAACAGCAAGCCAAUGAAGCACAUCAACAAGCUGCUGCUUUGCUAGAAGAAGUUCAAAAAUUGACAGUAGAAAACUUGCAAUUAAAGGGCGAGUUGCAGUCUCAGCGUGAAGAGUUGAAUUCUCAGAAAAGAACCGUAGAGGAACAAAGUGGUCACAUGGAGUGUUUGUUGGCCCAGAAACUUGAGGAAAGAAUGAAAGCAAUGUGGGCACGCAUGGGUGGCACUGGUGGUGCUUCAUCUUCAAGUGUCCCAAACAAUUAAGAAGUUCCAAGUUGACAAAGACUGGCGUCGUGGAGUUGCUACAAAGUUCUGUCCAUCUAGGCGAGCAUCCUAGAGUCCGUGUCCCAAGUUUCAUUUGUUGCUUAGGUGUUCAGUUAUCAAUUUAGUUAUGGUCUUAGUUAAAAUGCUCUUUGUAUGAGCACUUUGUUAUCAUUCAUUAAUAAAGGAUAGUUUCCUCUAGUGUGAGGAACCCUUCUGUCA